AACGAAAAUCUUGGUGUCGUUGUUUUCUCUACAAGUUUAUUUGGAUAACGAGAAAGGCGUUAUUCACACGGUGAUCACCACGGGGAUUGUAAGCUUGGACUGUAGUUUUUCCGGUAUCGAUUGUUGAGCAAGUCCUGUUCCUGACGGCCUACUUCGUGUCUUGCCAUGGACGAGUAUCCAAGCAGCAUUCAAGAAACACUAUCGGCUUUGUUUACCCUCUAUUCGAGUGGAGGCAAUCAUGUUGAUCCUGGUUGGUCUGGAAGACAAGUGUAUCGUUAGCCCUCGAAGCAGCUGCAGACAUACUUACUGCCAAAGGCUUACCAGUUUUAUCAACUUUUCUUUUUCUCGAGCCUUGGCUUAUUCAAACUCUGACGUCCGGUCUAAAAUGGUGGAAGCUGGCGUAGCAGUUCUCGAUAAACAUGGAAA